GCAGGGGUGGCUGAGUGGUUAAAGGCGGCAGAUUGCUAAUCUGUUUUCCGUAUGGAAACGCGAGUUCAAAUCUCGUCCCCUGCG
rnacentral:tRNA from 1 species